UUGUCCUCGUGUUAUUUGCCAAAUAUGUAUUUUGUUAAUUUGGUGAUUGUCAAACAGGACAUACAUUAAAAUUCUAAAAUCUCGUUAUAAAC